rnacentral:rRNA from 1 species
UACGGAGGGAGCUAGCGUUGUUCGGAAUUACUGGGCGUAAAGCGCACGUAGGCGGCUAUUCAAGUCAGAGGUGAAAGCCCGGGGCUCAACCCCGGAACUGCCUUUGAAACUAGAUGGCUAGAAUCUUGGAGAGGCGAGUGGAAUUCCGAGUGUAGAGGUGAAAUUCGUAGAUAUUCGGAAGAACACCAGUGGCGAAGGCGACUCGCUGGACAAGUAUUGACGCUGAGGUGCGAAAGCGUGGGGAGCAAACAGG